rnacentral:rRNA from 1 species
CAGUAGCCGCGGGAAUACGAGGGGGGCAAGCGUUGUUCGGAAUUAUUGGGCGUAAAGGGUGCGUAGGCAGUUUGAUAAGUCUUAUGUGAAAUCUAUGGGCUCAACCCAUAGUCUGCGUAGGAAACUGUCGGGCUUGAGAGUGGGAGAGGUGAGUGGAAUUUCCGGUGUAGCGGUGAAAUGCGUAGAUAUCGGAAGGAACACCUGUGGCGAAAGCGGCUCACUGGACCAUUUCUGACGCUGAUGCACGAAAGCUAGGGGAGCAAACAGGAUUAGAUACCCCUGUAGUCCCUGUCUCUUAUAC